AAAUUGAAGAGUUUGAUCAUGGCUCAGAUUGAACGCUGGCGGCAGGCCUAACACAUGCAAGUCGAACGGUAACAGGAAGCAGCUUGCUGCUUCGCUGACGAGUGGCGGACGGGUGAGUAAUGUCUGGGAAACUGCCUGAUGGAGGGGGAUAACUACUGGAAACGGUAGCUAAUACCGCAUAAUGUCGCAAGACCAAAGAGGGGGACCUUCGGGCCUCUUGCCAUCGGAUGUGCCCAGAUGGGAUUAGCUUGUUGGUGGGGUAACGGCUCACCAAGGCGACGAUCCCUAGCUGGUCUGAGAGGAUGACCAGCCACACUGGAACUGAGACACGGUCCAGACUCCUACGGGAGGCAGCAGUGGGGAAUAUUGCACAAUGGGCGCAAGCCUGAUGCAGCCAUGCCGCGUGUAUGAAGAAGGCCUUCGGGUUGUAAAGUACUUUCAGCGGGGAGGAAGGGAGUAAAGUUAAUACCUUUGCUCAUUGACGUUAUCCGCAGAAGAAGCACCGGCUAACUCCGUGCCAGCAGCCGCGGUAAUACGGAGGGUGCAAGCGUUAAUCGGAAUUACUGGGCGUAAAGCGCACGCAGGCGGUUUGUUAAGUCAGAUGUGAAAUCCCCGGGCUCAAC
rnacentral:rRNA from 1 species